GGGGGCGACUUGGUUUCGACGUGGGUUGCAAAACCUAAGGGGCAUGUCGAGGGGCAGAUACCUCGUAAAUACUCUGCAAAACAAUCUAGUUGCGAACGACGACAACUACGCUUUAGCUGCUUAGGCGGCUAAACUGUUACCCAGAUAAGCCUGCGUGUUUGGAGUAGCAGUCACUUUAGUAGGAUCGUGAAUUCAUGCGUCUAGGGUGGAUUCAUUAAACUUUACUUGGACUCACUGCUGUAUUUUCCUGCCCGUCGGAGAAUCAGUGGCUAAAUUGAAGACUAGGGCUAAACAUGUAGUCCCAAGGGCGGAGGAUUUACGGACGCGAGUUCGAUUCUCGCCGCCUCCACCA
rnacentral:tmRNA from 1 species